rnacentral:rRNA from 1 species
AUUGAACGCUGGCGGCAGGCCUAACACAUGCAAGUCGAGCGAGCGGCGGACGGGUGAGUAAUGUAUGGGGACUGCCCGAUAGCGGGGGCUAACUACUGGAAACGGUAGCUAAUACCGCAUACUAUCGGAUAACCCAUAUGGGAUUAGCUAGUAGGUGCGGUAAUGGCUAACCUAGGCGACGAUCCCUAGCUGGUCUGAGAGGAUGAUCAGCCACACUGGGACUGAGACACGGCCCAGAGUCCUACGGAGGCAGCAGUGGGGAAUAGUGCACAAUGGGCGAAAGCCUGAUGGAGCCAUGGCGCGUGUAUGAAGAAGGCCCUAGGGUUGUAAAGUACUGUCAGUCGGGAGGCGUUACCGACAGAAGAAGCACCGGCUAACUCCGUGCCAGCAGCCGCGGUAAUAC